UUCAUUUAAAUGUGUAAUAUUCAGCAAAGUUUCAUCCAGCUCAAUAAUAUGAAUCAAAAAUUUCAACAUAACUUUUGAAUUUGCAUCCCGACGUAGACGUGAUUAAUUUGCAUCGUUCGAAUAAUUAGGAAGAAAGAAGAGAUUAAGAGGGAGAGAGAAGGGAACAUUUCUCGUGGAAUGCCGCGAGCGGUAAUAAUAAGGUCGCAGCGAAACUACACGAAAACAAUGCGCAGUCACCUGCAGCUUCAUCCUCGACUUCGAUAUAUUGAUUAGACAGUUAUCGAAAAAUGACACCAAUAUAGACGAUUGUUGACUGGACAGACUCCGAAUAUUUAUGACUGAAAGGCGCCAGGGAGAAGUCGCGAGUCGCGCGUUAAUUAACCGUUUGCGCCCCGCAUGUGUCCAUUGCAAAAUCCCUGAUGUCUUCGCGGAAUUAUUCAAUAUUGAGGUAAGCAGAUAUUUAUAUGUAUUUAUUACGAAAAAGUUUGUAGUAUAUUUCUCAAAAUCGAAUAAAACGUUAACAGAAUGAUAGCUUCGCCCAAUAGCUUCCUUUCCUCGUAAGAAGCUAUAUAAAGCGCAAUCCCUAUUUACGUACCUGUAAAU